UGGGGAAUUUUGGACAAUGGGGGAAACCCUGAUCCAGCCAUCCCGCGUGUGCGAUGAAGGCCUUCGGGUUGUAAAGCACUUUUGGCAGGAAAGAAACGUCGCGGGUUAAUACCCCGCGAAACUGACGGUACCUGCAGAAUAAGCACCGGCUAACUACGUGCCAGCAGCCGCGGUAAUACGUAGGGUGCAAGCGUUAAUCGGAAUUACUGGGCGUAAAGCGUGCGCAGGCGGUUCGGAAAGAAAGAUGUGAAAUCCCAGAGCUUAACUUUGGAACUGCAUUUUUAACUACCGGGCUAGAGUGUGUCAGAGGGAGGUGGAAUUCCGCGUGUAGCAAUGAAAUGCGUAGAUAUGCGGAGGAACACCGAUGGCGAAGGCAGCCUCCUGGGAUAACACUGACGCUCAUGCACGAAAAGCGUGGGGAGCAAACAGGAUUAGAUACCCUGGUAGUCCACGCCCUAAAACGAUGUCAACUAGCUGUUGGGGCCUUCGGGCCUUGGUAGCGCAGCUAACGCGUGAAGUUGACCGCCUGGGGAGUACGGUCGCAAGAUUAAAAACUU
rnacentral:rRNA from 1 species